GGGGAAUCUUCCGCAAUGGGCGAAAGCCUGACGGAGCAACGCCGCGUGAGUGAAGACGGCCUUCGGGUUGUAAAGCUCUGUUAUACGGGACGAAUAGUCUUAUGGUUAAUACCCAUGAGAAGUGACGGUACCGUAAGAGAAAGCCACGGCUAACUACGUGCCAGCAGCCGCGGUAAUACGUAGGUGGCAAGCGUUGUCCGGAAUUAUUGGGCGUAAAGGGCGCGCAGGCGGCUUCUUAAGUCUGUCUUAAAAGUGCGGGGCUUAACCCCGUGAUGGGAUGGAAACUGGGAAGCUCAGAGUAUCGGAGAGGAAAGCGGAAUUCCUAGUGUAGCGGUGAAAUGCGUAGAUAUUAGGAGGAACACCAGUGGCGAAAGCGGCUUUCUGGACGAAAACUGACGCUGAGGCGCGAAAGCCAGGGGAGCGAACGGGAUUAGAUACCCCGGUAGUCCUGGCCGUAAACGAUGGGUACUAGGUGUAGGAGGUAUCGACCCCUUCUGUGCCGGAGUUAACGCAAUAAGUACCCCGCCUGGGGAGUACGGCCGCAAGGUUG
rnacentral:rRNA from 1 species